GUCCAGUUCUUCCUCUCCCUCCCACUCAGGAAGAACCAGCUCAUCCUCCUCUGUUGGACCCACGACAUCCACCGGUCACACCGCUGCAAAGAGGAGACUGGAGCCGACAGUGUGGCGGUGUGGCCGGUGCAGGCAACUGGAUCCUCCAGCGCCUUCCGAGGAAUUGGUGUCGUGGGUCCAGUGUGACAACUGACACAAGUGGUUUCACACCACUUGUGUCAGCUGGGAGGAGGAUGAGCUGACAAAUUAUGA